UUUUGGUGAGAUUAAUAAAAUAACAAAAAAUAUGCAAAUGAUGGGCGAUUUUCUCCAGGUGUUAAUUUAACAAAGACACGACUGAAUCUGCUGCAGCUCCUCCUCCACCUUGACGUUGAAAUUAGUAGCGGAGGAGUAACAAUAAUCGACCGGACCUCCCCCAAUUGUUUGAAUUAUAUAUAAAUUCUUGGGGGGCUGGGAACAUUUUACACACGCAUAUGAUAAAAUGAUAACCCGUGCUAAACUGGUAGAGCAACUUCGUGAAUAUCAGAUCCGCUCUCAACACAAGUACUCCGCUCUCGUUUUCUUCUCUCCUAAACCCCAGAUUCGCACUUGGGCUGAUGUUACUGUGGCUAUCCUGCUUCUAGCAUUGUUCAGCAUCCUUGUAAUCUCAUCAUUAGUAACCCUCUAUUUCAGACACUUCUGGCUUUGUUUGUCGAUUAUAUGUAUCGGUAUUUUUAUUCCAUUGCGUUUGCGCAAUUCUCGGAAAUCACUUGCAAGGAAAAGGGAAAGAAGAAUGUUAUUACCUCUGUCUAUGUGAAUAUGAGCAUCCAAUUACAAUCAAAAGUUUUGCCAGUAAUCCCAUGCUAUGUUGGCCCUUCCUUUAAGGAGAUUAGACAAGGAAACGAUGAGUUCCACUUGUGCAGAAAGCUGGAAUUUGUCGGCCAAUCAAGACUCCACUAACUCCACAAUUAUACUACAAGAAGUUGUAUUAGGGUAAUCUUAUUUGUGGUCCCACAAUUGAUCAAGAUUAAAACUGAAUGAUGCUGAUGAUUAUCACUCCAUGUUAAUGAUGCAUGAACCCUCAAAGAUACACCACAACUUGGUUGGAGGGGGACCUGAGGGUCGAUGUGACAUAGCCGAAAGCAAAAGUUAGCUAGCCUGAAGACCAUAUGGUUACUUGCCUUUUUUCAUGCUUAGCUUUCUUACUCUGCAUGCUUCUUUGCUUUUAUUCAGCACUGUAUAGAAUCAUUGUGUUGCCCCUGCAAGUAUUAAGUGAUUGUCUCGAGUUCUCGAACCAUUUAAAAGUGAAAGAUAGUUUUUUUUUUC